UUUUUUUUUUUUUUUUUUUUUUUAGAUUGUUCUUUGGGGUGAUCCAGAAUCAUAAAAUUGAGCAGAUUUCUACAUGACAUUUGGGAAAAGCCAUACCUUCUUUAUUCCCUACCUCCUGAGCUGAUGCUUGGCGAUUUAAAGGACUCACUCCAUCAAAUGCAGCAGCUGCUCUUCUCUUGCGACCAGGUAAAGCAUUCCUGAAUUGUCUCCGAUUGAAUUGCUGCUGUCCAAACCCUCUUCUGAAAUGGUUAGGUCCUAAACACAAAGCCCUCUUACUUUAGCAUCCUUCAAAAUUUGGUUUAUGAUUAGUUUCAUAAAUAGAUUACAAGGUUAACUUAAUGUGAAACAGGAGUAUCUACAGAAAUAGUGGUGUAAAAGUCACACUCAUAUUAAAUAAUUAAUUUUUCCAAUGUCUCUCUAGGACUCUUAUUGUAUAUAGGACUGCCAUACACAUUAUUUGAUGUGAAAGAAUAAAGAAGAGAAAAGCCUUUCACAAUUCUGAUUCCUCAUAAAGACAGGAACACCUACAUCAGGAGACAUGUCAAUCUGUUGUCAGAGCUCAAACUGUUAUGAAUUAACUGCUAUGAAACAGAAAAAGAAUUUAGAUACAGAUAUACACAUGAUCAAGCAUGCCAAAGCCAACCCCACAGCAGCCUGAAAUAGCUCUGAGGGACCACAUCAUAAUAUAAUUUUUAUUUAUUUAUUUAUUUAUUAUCUUUUCGCUUGACACACCAUAGCUUCUCGUAUUGAAGGGGAAACUUCCAGCUGCUCUUAUAUGAUACACACACACCCUCUGUCUGUCCUGCAUUUAACCUUCUCCCCUAAGCCUGCUGAUGAUUUUGAAGAGUGCUGAAGAGCUGAACAAGAGGAAAGCCCUAAGCCCUGUCAGACUGAGGCACAGUGCUUCCAAACCUAAUUACACCACAUAAUAAAAUUCUGUAGUUGUAAUGAGAGACUCAGAAAGUUUCUGAGUCACUGUGUGAGCUGACACAGUCACAACAACAAUCACAAACCCACGGCUAGAAUGCCAAGAUGGAAUUUAUUUCUGUUACCUCACAAACCAGCAGAUCCCUGAAGCAACACCUAAGCAGAGCCACUUUGGUCACCAGCACCAUUAAGCUUGGCCCAGUGCUGGGGAAUCACCAGGCUACUCUUCACACCAGUUUAUCAAGGGUUUGCUUGAAUAGGGUCAUCACCACGCUGUGUUCUGAUCUCUGUUACCAAGGCAGGGAGCUCAAGCAUGUCCAGAAGGUGGCCCAAGUCCACCAAACACCUUCAUUAUCUAUAACCAGAUGUUCUACUUCUCAAUGCACACAGAGGGUGAACAGCAGUAGACGUGUGUUUUCCUUCACUGCUGCUUCUGACUUUGCUAUCCCCAGAAGGUCACUUAAGCCCCUCUGUUUUGAGCCCAUUCCCCCCAACAGCUGCUAUACCAGUGAGAUGUGCCCACACCUGGGGGCUGUAUAAAUUAGGCACAAAUCUGUGCAUGGCAGAGGGCAGUGGGAGUGCACUCAAACCUGGGUCUCACAGCAGAACCUCACUGACACAAACCACAGAGCAGUGAGGUGCAUAUAUUGGUCUAAUAUCAUUGACUGCUACAUGGCAGCAAUUUAUACUGCCUUGGAGCAACUGGAAAUUAAGUGUUCUGAGGAAGCAGUGUUGUUGCUGUGAGGGGUCACAACGGCCACAAUGAAUGAAGGCUCCAGCUUCAGGGUGUAACACCAGCCAGCACCAGCUGGAGCUGCCUACACUGGAACAUGCUUGAAGAUCAUUUGAGCUGCUCUGGCUCUAAAACAGAAGGGCAACAGUACAGGCCCUUGGGAAGCAGAUCCCAAAAACCAUGCUCAUGCCCCAUGGCCAGAGGUGCUGGUUGAGAACUGAGAAUGUGCACAAAAACGUAACACAGUUCACAAGCUCUGGGGUCAGCUGUUGUUUCCUUUGCAGACAAUGCCCUCUCAUUGCAGAAGUGCUGGUGUGUAAAUGUUCCUCUGGUGACAAACAUUCAAUUUCGGCAAACUGUUUCUUUUCGACCACAUGUGGACUUGCUGUAGUCAAUGUCCCUUUGAUUUUUUUCUCCUGCUUCUAUUCCCCCAGUCUGUUUUUAGCCCUGUCUUCUUUCUCUUCAGCCCCCACCCUGGGCCUGUCCCUAUCUCUUGCCCAUUUGCUGGACUGCUCUCCUCCUGGACACCCAGCUUUGCUGCACAGUUCUCCUACACCCUGGAGAGGACAAGAGACUGAGCUCAGCUGCCUUUCCUGGAUACUCUAUAAGGGCAAUGGGAGGGAUGGCUGCAGAAGGUAGCCCUGACUAGAAAAUUGUGUCCCUGUCAGUCUGUUCCUAUUAGAGAGCCUGUGCUCAGCAGUGCACUCAGGCACAACUCAUUCAACACAAACAACACAUGACAGAGCCAUCAGCCUCCAAGGCGGACUCCAUCACACCAGCUGGGGACCAAGGCCUUGCUCUGCCAUCUGUGUCCUGAAGUGUGACACAUGGGAGGCUUCAUGUCUGCAAAAGGCCUGGCACAUAUUUAAUACAAUGUAAGAACAUUUCAAUAAAACCGCACAGCAUCAGCAGCUGGAGAAGAACCCCCGCCCACACACCCCAUGUGUGUGCUCAGACCCAGGCUCUGAACACAACUGGGAUGGCCAAAAGGCACCUCUGCUCAGCCAGUCCAGAGUAAGUUUCCACAUCUGACAGACUCUUUUUUCCAAGGAGAUUUGAAAUUCUAAUUUUACGUAAUUAAAAAUCAUCUUUCCCCCACUAGGGAAAAGGUUUAAACCAUAUUCCAAGAGGGAUUAACAGCACUUUGCUUGCUGGUUUAAUCAGCAUACUACCCCUUCCCCCUCCUCAGUCAUUACAGUGCUGGGCUCCUCAGAUCAUCAUUUUGAUAAUGGUUAUCACAUCUCAGCCCAGAAGGGACUGCAUUUCAGCAGCAACCAAAGUGAACAGAGCCCCUGGAUGAAUUAUGGGCUAAAUUCCCAGUCAUGUUGAGCUUCCCCAAAUUGCUACUGACAAUCAGCACCACACAGCAUGGCAGGUCUCUGCACUUGGCAGGGCUGAAUUCAGACUCAUUGGAAACCUAUGAAAUGCUAAAACUAGCCAAAAUAAUUAUAUAAAUUAACAGAAAAGCUCUCCCAUCUAAGAAAUAGGGAAAAAAUAUUUUAUUGGAUUUGCCUCUGAAUGCAGUAAUUGCUUGAGUGAGGGAGAAUAUCAAAGCCUGAGGGUUUUGACAGAAAAAUCAAUUUGCUAAGGGCAUUUAUCACCAUUAUGAUUGAACUAGAACAAUCCUCAGUAAGGCACUGUGAGGUGGACACCAAGAACACAAAGGUGGGAGGCAGAGCAGAGACAAGCAGGAUAUCUCCCAGUGAUCCCACUAUCCUGAUCUGUGAUUGGUACUCCAAUGUACAACUGAAAAGAUAUUUCUGCAAAAUAUCACUAAAAUCUUCAAGGAUUGACUUAGCAGUAAUUAAAAAAAAAGUUUGCAGAGAUGUCAUUUCAUGCAGCAGAUAAUUGGUUUGUAGGUAAAAGCCAGUGGAACGAAACAAAGGUGUGAACACAUGGUAUUAUAAAAAAACCUCACCAUAAAAAAUAGCAUGCUUGGCAAAAGUGACUAUUUAGCUUCAAUAACUGAGCUAUCAAAUACAGUUAUUGAGGGGGUAAUUUCUAUAAUUUAAAUCUGCUCUGGGAAAAUGAGGAUUAGGAACAGGCAUAAUUAAAAUAUGCAAAGCCAAGGGGAAUAGAGAAUAGAUAUUAAGUCACUUUAAAUUAGUAAUUCAUUAGAGUGGAAGGGAGAGAAAUGGGCGAAUUAUGCUCUAAAAGGACACUGAUAUUCCAUGGUUAUGGAGAGAAAAGCUAAUCAGAGCCUGAGUGCAUCUUAUAUGCACACAGAAAUUGGAAAGGAGAAGGAUUUAAGAGAUGGAUUUUGCUAAAAAAUGCAUUUCCCAGCCUGGCCAGCCUCUGCGGUCUCAAGUGCCCAUCUACCUUGCAAAUUCCUCUGCUUCCAGGAUCGGUACUGGGGCCGCCCAUAUCCGGAGACUGAACUCCUGUUCUUGACCUGCUGCCUUCUGCUGUCGCCCAAGGCACUGGCAUCUAUCUGCUCUUUCCUGUGGCGCUUUAUGAUGUCAUCUAGAAUGAAAUUAGGAGAAAUCCAUAGAAACUGCACUUUCCACCAACAGUGAGUCCCUCUUUGGGUGCUUGGAAUUGUCUGCGGUAAACAUGGACCUUGCUGUUCUGUGAGCUACAUGGGGCAGACAAUGAAAGAUUAAGCUUAGCUUAGAAAGUAUAGGAUCAAUUUACUGGGCUCCUGUGGGCUGGAGAUUAGAGCGCAGCAAAUGAUUUACAAAUGCACCACCAUUGAGCACACCCCCACCAUGGGCAGGACAGAGAUUUCAGACUGAGGAGUCUGAUCCUGCAGGCUUCCAACAAGCUUAAGGAAAGAUGUUUUUGCAGGGGCACCAGGAGCUCAGUGCUGGAUAGAGAACUUUUUUGAGGUCUGACUUGAGUGGCUGUAGGAAAGGUGGCCAAUGUGGGGAGAAUGUGACAGUUCUUGAGCUACUUGGAUCAUGCACAAAGUACUGCCAGAUGUAGAGCUCCAUCGAGAAACAGCUCAGCCCCCUCCAUUCUCAAUCAGCUGGUCUGCAAUCAAUGGGAUCUUCCUAAUUCAAGCUGUUCUGAUGCAGAGGAAUGGCAAAGGCAAAAGGAUGUCUCUUCAUUAAUUCAUAUUUUCCAACAUUUUCUUCUUUUAACUCCAUAUCUUCCAGAAAAUGCUUUGCAAUUAUUUACAAAUAAUAAAGGCACAUCUGUGAAGCUGCACGCAGAAUGUUUUAACUUGAACGAAUUAGCAAGAAACAAAGUGUCCAAAACAGGCCAUUUCCCAGGCAGUGGCUACUCCAGCUCCUUAAUAUAUCACUGGAGUCAAAGGACAGAAGUACCAUCAGCUUUCAGUGAGUGCUUACCAUGAAUUAUCAGACCUCCAGCACUGGUCCCUUGUCAUUUCCUAUCAAGAAACUCCUGUGUCCUAAUGAAUAAAAAGCCCAAGGAAAAGAAACAAGAGCAUGUGUAAGAACAGGCUGCUUUUAUGAUUUCUCUUUCAAGUCUCCCAGGAAAAGAACAGGCUGGGAGAUGCUGGGGCAUGUUCUUGGGAUAAAUUUGCUAAUGGUCUCAGCUAAGUGUGCCUUUGGGACAUGUGUGAUUUGGAGCACAGGAUGCUUUGAAGUGUUUUGAAAGCAUCCCUGCUUGCUCUGCAGGGAGGUGACCACACUCAUCCAAGGGUGGGCCGUCCACAGCAUGAGGAAAUGAGAGGGGCUGAAUGCUCAGGUGCCUGAUCUGUCACCCUUCAGUGUCUUUUUUGUUUGUGAAUGAGUUGCUAACCUGGCUUUUGUGCCCAUAAACCUGAUGAGGUAAACAGAGUGAUGUAAUAGACUACUACACAAGGCUGCAAGGGAAACCUGAGAGAUCAUUGACCAUACAUGUAUGCCCUCAGGCAGAAUUAGAUCUAUCAGGGCAGCUUUAAAGCAGCUACUGCAGAUUUUUUUGUGACUGCUAACUUAUGUAAUGCACAAAUGUAUGUGAAAACACAAAAAAACCACCUGAUGGAACAAAUUCUUCACCAGGGGCCUCUUGUUUUCCAAUUCUCUCUUCUAUCCUGAGUAAGGUGUAUUCUGGAUGGAAUAUGGAGCUAGACUACAGGAAGUCUGACUGAGAGAAGCACUGAGGGAGAUGAAAAGCAAAGGGAGCAUGACACAUCAGCAAAGAGGAAAAGGGUGUGCAGCACUAUGGAAGAAAAAUAAAUCAAAAAUGAGCUAUAACUGUUGCUAUAGCUCCUCAUAGAGACAUUAAAAUAAGGGUGCAUAAGCCAAGGGAUCAGUUUAAGUUUGCAGUGGAAAAUGUUCGUUGUUUCUAGCAAAUGACUCUUCACUGGGAAGAAAUGACACAAGGUUUCAGUUAGGAAGCUGACCCAAUAAUAAAAGGUGCUGGUGGAGUUUCCUUUCACAGCAGAGACAUCAACACGAUAAUCCAUCAAGAUCUCUCAUGCAUGCGUCAGAAUCCAGGCCUGGGGAGUUCAUGACAGGGCGGUUGAUAGUUGCUUAUGCACAGUCCACAUUCCCCGUGCCAAAGGAAUGGCGAGCAUCAGAGCAAGCUGCUAUAAAUAGCAAGGCGAGGCCAUGGCUCCCCUUCCGCUGUCACCGGGGCUGCUCUGCGUUAGUCCCCCGGGCCGCCCUGCCGUGAGCUCCGGGCUGCUGCCAGCCCAGCGCCGAGCCCGGGGCCCGCACACGGCCCCUCUGCCCGUGCUGCCACUCAGACAGGGGCACCCGCACAGCGGGACCACCUCCGGCCCGAGCCCGGCCCGAGCCAUCCCGCACACAGCCAUCCCAGCUCUCCCGCCCGUACGGAGGGCCCGGUCCGGCCCCGCCGCCCGGCAGAGCCCCGCACCUACCCAGGGACAUGUCGAUCUCCUCGGCCCCCGGUUGCGACCCCGCCGCGGGCUGCAGCCCCGCCGUCUCCAUGGACCCGGAGCCCUGCACGCUCACUGCGCCUGCCCGUCCCGGCCCGCCCCGCGGGGCCCUC
rnacentral:lncRNA from 1 species